CUCAGCACCAGGGCCAGACAGGAGGAAAGGCAGCCACUGGCCACUUGCCAGCACAUCUUGCAUUGCCUUAAAUGCUCUGCUCUGACUACAUGUCCUGUUUGCUAUGAAACAAAUCUAAUGGAGGAAAUGAACAGGAUUUUGAUUUUAAAAGUAUUGUGUCAGUCAUAUAUUGAGCCAUCUACAGUGCUCUGCUGGCUGCCAAACCUCUGGAAACACAUCACACCAAAGUGUUGCAGGGUCAUGGGAGCUGCAUAACACCAGGUCUUCACAGUCUCAAAAACCAAAUUACCUAAUUUUGAGGAAACAAUACCUGCAUGCAAUUAAGCUCUUAACUUUACUCAUGUUAUUUUGAAUUACAGAAGAAAUGCCAUGGUUUUGCACUGUUUUUCUUCUCCUUGCCUGCUCAAACACAAGUUGGAAGCCUUUCCAAAACCACUCCGUCACCGUGUCUUCCAGCACGAACUGUCUGAUUUGCUCUGAGUCAGCUACAUCUGAGGAGCCACAGCUGGCCUGGAAAUUUUUUUUUCCCUAAAACUGGUGUCAGUGGUGUGAGGAGCACGGCACUACCAAGGAGAGGUACCCUGAUGGCACUGAGCUCAACUAGCACCCUCUGUAAUAUACUUGUGGUGCAAGAUGAAGGACACCACUGGAGCACACCUUCCUCACCUUCAACAGCCUCGUGAUGACCCAUGUGGAGUUGGUGAGAGACACUGUGAUGUUUUAAAGGUUUCAGGCCACCUUUUGUCAUAAGCCUGGUGACAGCCCAGGCUGGUGCAACACAGAGGCUUCCUGCCUGUCCUGCUCUUCCUCUGUGACCUGAAUCAGAAGUUCUCAUGUUGGCUGCCCUCAGAGAAGCUGGCACAAUCCUCUUUCUCCAGGAUUAUGACUACACCUCAACUUCCAUCCAACACAGAUCUCCCACUUGUAACCAGAAAGUUAAGAAGCACUAACAGAAAUCAUCUUACCAGCAGUUUCAAAAUCUAGCAAAUUCCACACCAGGGUGGAGAAUUAGUUUCAGUCUGACUGGUCCUCUUAUUUAUUUGUUUAAGGACUACUCCAGCAGUAAGCAGGGAAGAAUUCCAUUCCCAUGCAGGAAUGUGAUACCAAGAUCCUCUGACUUGCAGCAGAUUCACCAACAUUUCUUGGCAUCCUCCAUCAUGAAAUGCCAGCAAGAAGCCUAUUCUAUACCUCACAGCAAACAGCAAGAUCUUUCAUACUGCAAAGGAAUAAUUUAACUAUGGAAAAUAAAUUUACCUUUUCAUUGAAAAUUCUACUUUGAGUAUAGCCAACUGAACAUAUUUCCACAUAAACUGGUGAUAAAUGGAGAGGAGGAGCUUGCAAGGAGAAGUGCCAAUUUGCCUGUGCCCGAAUCAAAGCAGUUGCUCCCUGAAAGCAUUAGGGCAGCAGCAUGCGCAGAAGCACAUUGUUCAAAUGGAGUUCCUAUUGCAAAAAUAAAAGC